GACGAACGCUGGCGGCGUGCUUAACACAUGCAAGUCGAACGGAAAGGCCCUGCUUUUGUGGGGUGCUCGAGUGGCGAACGUGUGAGUAACACGUGAGUAACCUGCCCUUGCCUUUGGGAUAACUUCAGGAAACUGGGGCUAAUACCGGAUAUGCGCUCCUGCUCCAUGGUGGGGGUUGGAAAGUUUCGGCGGUUGGGGAUGGACUCGCGGCUUAUCAGAUUGUUGGUGGGGUAGUGGCUUACCAAGGCUCUGACGGGUAGCCGGCCUGAGAGGGUGACCGGCGACAUUGGGACUGAGAUAAGGCGCAGAAGCAGACGGGAGGCAGCAGUGGGGAAUAGUGCACAAUGGGCGGAAGCCUGAUGCAGCAACGCCGCGUGCGGGAUGACGGCCUUCGGGUGGUAAACCGCUUUCGCCUGUGACGAAGCGUGAGUGACGGUAAUGGGAAAAGAAGCACCGGCUAACUACGUG
rnacentral:rRNA from 1 species